rnacentral:sRNA from 1 species
CCCACCCACAUGCAUGCCCACACAGAUACGCGCGCGCACUAAAUAAAUAAACUUGUUUUUAAAGCAGGGACAAAUGUAAUAUCAGCGUAUAGUAUUGAAUGCUCCCGUCAGCAAACUGUUAGAGGAAGAGCACCCUUAGCCAGCCAGCAGAGACAGAGAGACAGAGGGCCCGUGCCCUGCAGCAGCUCUCUUCUACACCACUCUAUAUCCACUGCUGCUGUCAUUUAUAAUGGAUCUCACCCCACUUCCCAAAAGGAAUGGAGACACUGCACAUUAAUGAUGCAUGGCUCCUGGGUCACAGAGGGACAUGACGUGGGGUUGCUGGCACCCUGCUCCAAACAAGAGCACCUAGCUUCAGGCUGUUAUCCUAAGUGAGGCAAAACACUCCAGCCAGGAGGGAGGCUUCUGCCUGUCACCUCCUGAAGGACACGAGUGUGCUACCCUCCACUCAGACCUACUGACAUCUAAAACAUAUCCCGUCCAUGUGUGAGAGAGAGGUGGCCACUGGGCAAGGCACAACUAGUCCAGUAGCCAGUUACAGGUACAGCAAGACCCAUGGACCCCAUCGGCCUGCCUCUCCAUCCCUACAACUAAGCUUAUGCCCAGGUGACGAGUGUACACUGCUGGACUUUGGCUGACAAACAAGAUCGGAACAUGUUGGACUCUAAACAAAUCAGCAAGACUGCCCAAGGAGGAAGCACUAUUGCACUCGCCCGAAACAAAGCACCGUGAGGUUAAUACACUCAAAUUAACCCUGCAGUCACCACGAGGUCGUUCUAGGAAUGACCCACUGUUCAGUUACUCACUUUACGAAUUGGAAACAAAAAAAUCAUUGACGGCCCCAGUGUUCUUCAGUUAGCUGAUAAAGAUAACCCCCACGAAGUCCCUGAGCAAAUGUUUUACAGAACUCCACAUAGCCCUAGAGCAGCAGAAACUUCUCAAUGAGAAGACGAAACAGAUACGGAACUCAUGUCAGACAAGUCAGCAAGAUGCCAACGGCAGAAUGUGGCCGGUCACGCCCAGAGACAAGCUGUUCAAACCUCGGCGCCCACAGCACGAGAAGGGAGAAAUCACAGAGGACUUGAGAAAAUUGGAGUCCCUUUGCUCUUCAUUUAAAUUCUGGCUGGGACAAUUUGUGAUGUAAUCCAGGACAAGUGACUAACCCUGCUCCUCAGACUCCAGUGUGGUUCACAGUCUGUCAGCCCAAGGUCUCUGCUAUAAGCCCCAAGAAAAGAAGUAAACCACUU